rnacentral:rRNA from 1 species
UACGGAGGGGGCUAGCGUUAUUCGGAAUUACUGGGCGUAAAGCGCACGUAGGCGGCUUUGUAAGUAAGAGGUGAAAGCCCGGAGCUCAACUCCGGAACUGCCUUUUAGACUGCAUCGCUUGAAUCCAGGAGAGGUGAGUGGAAUUCCGAGUGUAGAGGUGAAAUUCGUAGAUAUCGGGGAGGAACACCAGAGGCGAAGGCGGCGACCUGGAAGGUAACUGAGACUGAGCAGCGAAAGCGUGGGGAGCAAACAGG